GUCCCUAGCAUCCCUUGGAAUGCUGUUGAAGUUCUGUCACAGAACUGAAUUGGAAAUCCAAAGGUGCUGGAAAGCUUCUUCUCCAACCCUCAAAGCCGGACUUCACCCAUGAGAGCUGACAGCAUGCAAUUAUUUUUGAAGUGACAUUCUCAGAAAUAAAGAUUUCUCCCACCUCUGUUUUGAUGCCAAGAAGAAGAAGAAGAAGAAGAAGAAGAAGAAGC